rnacentral:rRNA from 1 species
UACGGGGGGUGCAAGCGUUGUUCGGAUUUAUUGGGCGUAAAGCGCGUGUAGGCGGUUUGUUAAGUCUGUUGUGAAAGCCCUGGGCUCAACCCGGGAAGUGCACUGGAUACUGGUAGACUUGAAUACGGGAGAGGAGAGUGGAAUUCCUGGUGUAGCGGUGGAAUGCGCAGAUAUCAGGAGGAACACCAACGGCGAAGGCAGCUCGCUGGGACGGUACUGACGCUGAGGCGCGAAAGCCAGGGGAGCAAACAGG